AGUCGAACGAGAUCUUCGGAUCUAGUGGCGCACGGGUGCGUAACGCGUGGGAAUCUACCCAAGGGUACGGAAUAACUCAGGGAAACUUGUGCUAAUACCGUAUAAUGUCUUCGGACCAAAGAUUUAUCGCCCAUGGAUGAGCCCGCGUUGGAUUAGCUUGUUGGUGAGGUAAAAGCUCACCAAGGCGACGAUCUUUAGCUGGUCUGAGAGGAUGAUCAGCCACACUGGGACUGAGACACGGCCCAGACUCC
rnacentral:rRNA from 1 species